CAGUAGCCGCGGUAAUACGUAGGUGGCAAGCGUUGUCCGGAAUUAUUGGGCGUAAAGGGCUCGCAGGCGGUUUCUUAAGUCUGAUGUGAAAGCCCCCGGCUCAACCGGGGAGGGUCAUUGGAAACUGGGAAACUUGAGUGCAGAAGAGGAGAGUGGAAUUCCACGUGUAGCGGUGAAAUGCGUAGAGAUGUGGAGGAACACCAGUGGCGAAGGCGACUCUCUGGUCUGUAACUGACGCUGAGGAGCGAAAGCGUGGGGAGCAAACAGGAUUAGAUACCCCAGUAGUCCCUGUCUCUUAUAC
rnacentral:rRNA from 1 species